GUAGGUGGCAAGCGUUGUCCGGAAUUAUUGGGCGUAAAGCGCGCGCAGGCGGUUCUUUAAGUCUGAUGUGAAAGCCCACGGCUCAACCGUGGAGGGUCAUUGGAAACUGGGGAACUUGAGUACAGAAGAGGAAAGCGGAAUUCCACGUGUAGCGGUGAAAUGCGUAGAGAUGUGGAGGAACACCAGUGGCGAAGGCGGCUUUCUGGUCUGUAACUGACGCUGAGGCGCGAAAGCGUGGGGAGCAAACAGGGAUUAGAUACCCUGGUAGUCCACGCCGUAAACGAUGAGUGCUAAGUGUUAGGGGGUUUCCCGCCCCUUAGUGCUGCAGCUAACGCAUUAAGCACUCCGCCUGGGGAGUACGGCCCGCAAGGCUG
rnacentral:rRNA from 1 species